rnacentral:misc_RNA from 1 species
AUCAAAUGCAAGAUUGAAAAGAAAUUUAACGUGCAAGAUCGGUACAAGAAUACUAUAUCGGCAAAGGAUGUUGUUAGAAUCAUUGAUGGUCCUUGCAAAGGGAAACAAGGUCCCGUAGAGCACAUAUACAGAGGAAUCUUGUUUAUCUAUGAUCGCCAUCACCUUGAACAUGCUGGAUUUAUCUGUGUUAAAUCCCAUUCUUGCGUUGUUGUGGGAGGAAGUCGAGCCCAUGGUGAUAGAAAUGGUGAUUCCUAUUCAAG